UACGAAGGGGGCUAGCGUUGCUCGGAAUCACUGGGCGUAAAGCGCACGUAGGCGGAUCCUUAAGUCGGGGGUGAAAUCCUGGAGCUCAACUCCAGAACUGCCUUCGAUACUGAGGAUCUCGAGUCCGGGAGAGGUGAGUGGAACUGCGAGUGUAGAGGUGAAAUUCGUAGAUAUUCGCAAGAACACCAGUGGCGAAGGCGGCCGACUGGUCCGGUUCUGACGCUGAGGCGCGAAAGCGGUGGGGAGCAAACAGGG
rnacentral:rRNA from 1 species